UGCUUUCUCCGCUGACGAGCGGCGGACGGGUGAGUAAUGUCUGGGGAUCUGCCUGAUGGAGGGGGAUAACUACUGGAAACGGUAGCUAAUACCGCAUAACGUCGCAAGACCAAAGUGGGGGACCUUCGGGCCUCAUGCCAUCAGAUGAACCCAGAUGGGAUUAGCUAGUAGGUGAGGUAAUGGCUCACCUAGGCGACGAUCCCUAGCUGGUCUGAGAGGAUGACCAGCCACACUGGAACUGAGACACGGUCCAGACUCCUACGGGAGGCAGCAGUGGGGAAUAUUGCACAAUGGGCGCAAGCCUGAUGCAGCCAUGCCGCGUGUAUGAAGAAGGCCUUCGGGUUGUAAAGUACUUUCAGUAGGGAGGAAGGUGUGCGUGUUAAUAGCACGUGCAAUUGACGUUACCUACAGAAGAAGCACCGGCUAACUCCGUGCCAGCAGCCGCGGUAAUACGGAGGGUGCAAGCGUUAAUCGGAAUUACUGGGCGUAAAGCGCACGCAGGCGGUUUGUUAAGUUGGAUGUGAAAUCCCCGGGCUUAACCUGGGAACUGCAUCCAAGACUGGCAAGCUAGAGUCUCGUAGAGGGAGGUAGAAUUCCAGGUGUAGCGGUGAAAUGCGUAGAGAUCUGGAGGAAUACCGGUGGCGAAGGCGGCCUCCUGGACGAAGACUGACGCUCAGGUGCGAAAGCGUGGGGAGCAAACAGGAUUAGAUACCCUGGUAGUCCACGCUGUAAACGAUGUCGAUUUGGAGGUUGUGCCCUUGAGGCGUGGCUUCCGAAGCUAACGCGUUAAAUCGACCGCCUGGGGAGUACGGCCGCAAGGUUAAAACUCAAAUGAAUUGACGGGGGCCCGCACAAGCGGUGGAGCAUGUGGUUUAAUUCGAUGCAACGCGAAGAACCUUACCUACUCUUGACAUCCAGCGAAUCCUGUAGAGAUACGGGAGUGCCUUCGGGAACGCUGAGACAGGUGCUGCAUGGCUGUCGUCAGCUCGUGUUGUGAAAUGUUGGGUUAAGUCCCGCAACGAGCGCAACCCUUAUCCUUU
rnacentral:rRNA from 1 species